UAACUAAAAACUCAAGUAAAAUUAAAUCAAGAUAAAAACUGCACAACCAAAUAAAAGAAGAAAAUCAAACUUAGAUAACACAAAUGAUUUAUUCUGGUUCAGCCUUUCUGCCUACUCCAGUCCAGUCCUUAUUCUCCUCGAGGUACCGAUCUCACUAUCACUUGGCCUUUUGAACAGAGCAAGACCAAAGCCGCUUACAAUCACACAAGACUUCUUUUACAACCUCUCAAGAAACUCAUAAUUACAAAUCAAUGAAUAAUUAGGACUUAGAGAAUUUUUAUGAAGUUGUGUCACAAACAACA
rnacentral:lncRNA from 1 species